UACUAAACCAGCAAGUAUAAUAAAUAAAAAAAACAAAAUAUUCCAGAAUUUAUAUAUAAACAUCUAUGUAUCCGAAAAGUACUAAAAGUUCAUGCCAUAAACCACCAUUAUUAUAUUUUCAUCAGAUAUUAAAACCCAAGUCUAUCUUCUCUCAACUAUUUAUAUAUUCGAAGGGUUCAUAAUUCACCCAAGAGCAUCUCAGACAUCUCAUACUUUUUAUUGAAGCGGAACUUGUUCUGUUUGAUGUCAAUAUCAUUAUGGAUCAAUGUUGCAGGUCCUGGAUACCUCCUGGCUGCAAAUUUGCUUCUUUACCUGGUUAAGAAGGAUUGCUGGUUGAAGAAGACGGAAAGUUGCUUCCAAUCCAAAGACUCGAUGGUGGGGGACAUAACAGUACCCACUCCACGGGCAAUUAUGACAAUGGCCAAACUUUUCAUGCAAACAUUUCCUCGGGAUAUCUUUCCGAUCAGCCACUUACAAUAUUUGU
rnacentral:lncRNA from 1 species